GUAGGUGAACCUGCGGAGGGAUCAUUACAGAGUUCAUGCCCUUACGGGUAGAUCUCCCACCCUAUGUUAUUAUUACUUUGUUGCUUUGGCGGGCCGUCAGGCUCACGCCCGGCUACCGGCCCCGGCUGGUAAGCGCCCGCCAGAGAACCCAAAACCCUGAUUAUUAGUGUCGUCUGAGUACUAUAUAAUAGUUAAAACUUUCAACAACGGAUCUCUUGGUUCUG
rnacentral:misc_RNA from 1 species